rnacentral:rRNA from 1 species
AGGGGAGUGAAAAAGAACCUGAAACCGUGUACGUACAAGCAGUGGGAGCACCCUUUGGGGUGUGACUGCGUACCUUUUGUAUAAUGGGUCAGCGACUUAUAUUCUGUAGCAAGGUUAACCGAAUAGGGGAGCCGGAGGGAAACCGAGUCUUAACCGGGCGUUAAGUUGCAGGGUAUAGACCCGAAACCCGGUGAUCUAGCCAUGGGCAGGUUGAAGGUUGGGUAACACUAACUGGAGGACCGAACCGACUAAUGUUGAAAAAUUAGCGGAUGACCUGUGGCUGGGGGUGAAAGGCCAAUCAAACCGGGAGAUAGCUGGUUCUCCCCGAAAGCUAUUUAGGUAGCGCCUCGUGAAUUCAUCUCCGGGGGUAGAGCACUGUUUCGGCUAGGGGGCCAUCCCGGCUUACCAACCCGAUGCAAACUGCGAAUACCGGAGAAUGUUAUCACGGGAGACACACGGCGGGUGCUAACGUCCGUCGUGAAGAGGGAAACAACCCAGACCGCCAGCUAAGGUCCCAAAGUCAUGGUUAAGUGGGAAACGAUGUGGGAAGGCCCAGACAGCCAGGAUGUUGGCUUAGAAGCAGCCAUCAUUUAAAGAAAGCGUAAUAGCUCACUGGUCGAGUCGGCCUGCGCGGAAGAUGUAACGGGGCUAAACCAUGCACCGAAGCUGCGGCAGCGACACUAUGUGUUGUUGGGUAGGGGAGCGUUCUGUAAGCCUGCGAAGGUGGCCUGUGAGGGUUGCUGGAGGUAUCAGAAGUGCGAAUGCUGACAUAAGUAACGAUAAAGCGGGUGAAAAGCCCGCUCGCCGGAAGACCAAGGGUUCCUGUCCAACGUUAAUCGGGGCAGGGUGAGUCGACCCCUAAGGCGAGGCCGAAAGGCGUAGUCGAUGGGAAACGGGUUAAUAUUCCCGUACUUGGUGUUACUGCGAAGGGGGGACGGAGAAGGCUAUGUUGGCCGGGCGACGGUUGUCCCGGUUUAAGCGUGUAGGUGUGUGUUCCAGGUAAAUCCGGUUCACUUUAACACUGAGGCGUGAUGACGAGGCACUACGGUGCUGAAGCAACAAAUGCCCUGCUUCCAGGAAAAGCCUCUAAGCAUCAGGUAACAUCAAAUCGUACCCCAAACCGACACAGGUGGUCAGGUAGAGAAUACCAAGGCGCUUGAGAGAACUCGGGUGAAGGAACUAGGCAAAAUGGUGCCGUAACUUCGGGAGAAGGCACGCUGACACGUAGGUGAAGUGAUUUACUCAUGGAGCUGAAGUCAGUCGAAGAUACCAGCUGGCUGCAACUGUUUAUUAAAAACACAGCACUGUGCAAACACGAAAGUGGACGUAUACGGUGUGACGCCUGCCCGGUGCCGGAAGGUUAAUUGAUGGGGUCAGCGCAAGCGAAGCUCCUGAUCGAAGCCCCGGUAAACGGCGGCCGUAACUAUAACGGUCCUAAGGUAGCGAAAUUCCUUGUCGGGUAAGUUCCGACCUGCACGAAUGGCGUAAUGAUGGCCAGGCUGUCUCCACCCGAGACUCAGUGAAAUUGAACUCGCUGUGAAGAUGCAGUGUACCCGCGGCAAGACGGAAAGACCCCGUGAACCUUUACUAUAGCUUGACACUGAACAUUGAGCCUUGAUGUGUAGGAUAGGUGGGAGGCUUUGAAGUGUGGACGCCAGUCUGCAUGGAGCCGGCCUUGAAAUACCACCCUUUAAUGUUUGAUGUUCUAACGUGGACCCGUGAUCCGGGUUGCGGACAGUGUCUGGUGGGUAGUUUGACUGGGGCGGUCUCCUCCUAAAGAGUAACGGAGGAGCACGAAGGUUGGCUAAUCCUGGUCGGACAUCAGGAGGUUAGUGCAAUGGCAUAAGCCAGCUUGACUGCGAGCGUGACGGCGCGAGCAGGUGCGAAAGCAGGUCAUAGUGAUCCGGUGGUUCUGAAUGGAAGGGCCAUCGCUCAACGGAUAAAAGGUACUCCGGGGAUAACAGGCUGAUACCGCCCAAGAGUUCAUAUCGACGGCGGUGUUUGGCACCUCGAUGUCGGCUCAUCACAUCCUGGGGCUGAAGUAGGUCCCAAGGGUAUGGCUGUUCGCCAUUUAAAGUGGUACGCGAGCUGGGUUUAGAACGUCGUGAGACAGUUCGGUCCCUAUCUGCCGUGGGCGCUGGAGAACUGAGGGGGGCUGCUCCUAGUACGAGAGGACCGGAGUGGACGCAUCACUGGUGUUCGGGUUGUCAUGCCAAUGGCACUGCCCGGUAGCUAAAUGCGGAAGAGAUAAGUGCUGAAAGCAUCUAAGCACGAAACUUGCCCCGAGAUGAGUUCUCCCUGAGACUUAGAGUCUCCUGAAGGAACGUUGAAGACGACGACGUUGAUAGGCCGGGUGUGUAAGCGCAGCGAUGCGUUGAGCUAACCGGUACUAAUGAACCGUGAGGCUUAACCUUACA